rfam:Cavia porcellus supercont2_4 genomic scaffold, whole genome shotgun sequence.
GGGGAUUUAGCUCAGCGGCAUAAGUACCUGCCUUGCAAGCAGGUGGUCGUGAGUUCAAUCCCCG